GAUUUCUUAACUAUUAAAGUUUAAAUUUUGAAAAUUUACAAUAGGAAUUAUUCCUAGAAAUCU
rnacentral:tRNA from 1 species